rnacentral:rRNA from 1 species
ACUACGAACGGGUGGAGCCUGCGGUUUAAUUGGUAUUCAACGCCGGAAUCUCACCGGGGCGACAGCAAUAUGAAGGUCAGGCUGAAGACCUUACCCGAUUAGCUGAGAGGUGGUGCAUGGCCGUCGUCAGUUCGUACUGUGAAGCAUCCUGUUAAGUCAGGCAACGAGCGAGACCCACGUCCACAGUUGCCAGCAUACCCUCCGGGGUGAUGGGUACACUGUGGAGACCGCCGCUGCUAAAGCGGAGGAAGGAGUGGGCAACGGUAGGUCAGUAUGCCCCGAAUCUCCCGGGCUACACGCGGGCUACAAUGGUUGGUACAAUGGGCAUCUACCCCGAAAGGGGAAGGAAAUCUCUUAAAGCCAAUCGUAGUUCGGAUUGAGGGCUGCAACUCGCCCUCAUGAAGCUGGAAUCCGUAGUAAUCGCGUUUCAACAGAACGCGGUGAAUACGUCCCUGCUCCUU